rnacentral:misc_RNA from 1 species
GUGAGUCAUCGAAUCUUUGAACGCACCUUGCGCCCUCUGGUAUUCCGGAGGGCAUGCCUGUUUGAGUGUCAUGAAGACUUCAACCCCUCGGGUUUUUCUCGGGGACGUUGGACUUGGGCGUCUGCCACGUCGUUGGCUCGCCUCAAAUGUGUCAGUGGUAAUCAGGCCUUUGACGGGAGUAAUAAGUUUCUCUUGUCUGUCGGUCGUCGAUGGCUGCUACCAACCCUGCCCCCGUGGCAAUUCUGACUCUGACCUCAAAUCAGGUAGGACUACCCGCUGAACUUAAGCAUAUCAAUAAGC